rnacentral:rRNA from 1 species
UCGGGGUACUCGAGUGGCGAACGGGUGAGUAACACGUGGGUGAUCUGCCCUGCACUUUGGGAUAAGCCUGGGAAACUGGGUCUAAUACCGAAUAGGACCACGCGCUUCAUGGUGUGUGGUGGAAAGCUUUUGCGGUGUGGGAUGGGCCCGCGGCCUAUCAGCUUGUUGGUGGGGUAAUGGCCUACCAAGGCGACGACGGGUAGCCGGCCUGAGAGGGUGACCGGCCACACUGGGACUGAGAUACGGCCCAGACUCCUACGGGAGGCAGCAGUGGGGAAUAUUGCACAAUGGGCGCAAGCCUGAUGCAGCGACGCCGCGUGAGGGAUGACGGCCUUCGGGUUGUAAACCUCUUUCAAUAGGGACGAAGCGCAAGUGACGGUACCUAUAGAAGAAGCACCGGCCAACUACGUGCCAGCAGCCGCGGUAAUACGUAGGGUGCGAGCGUUGUCCGGAAUUACUGGGCGUAAAGAGCUCGUAGGUGGUUUGUCGCGUUGUUCGUGAAAACUCACAGCUUAACUGUGGGCGUGCGGGCGAUACGGGCAGACUAGAGUACUGCAGGGGAGACUGGAAUUCCUGGUGUAGCGGUGGAAUGCGCAGAUAUCAGGAGGAACACCGGUGGCGAAGGCGGGUCUCUGGGCAGUAACUGACGCUGAGGAGCGAAAGCGUGGGGAGCGAACAGGAUUAGAUACCCUGGUAGUCCACGCCGUAAACGGUGGGUACUAGGUGUGGGUUCCUUCCUUGGGAUCCGUGCCGUAGCUAACGCAUUAAGUACCCCGCCUGGGGAGUACGGCCGCAAGGCUAAAACUCAAAGGAAUUGACGGGGGCCGCACAAGCGGCGGAGCAUGUGGAUUAAUUCGAUGCAACGCGAAGAACCUUACCUGGGUUUGACAUGCACAGGACGCCGGCAGAGAUGUCGGUUCCCUUGUGGCCUGUGUGCAGGUGGUGCAUGGCUGUCGUCAGCUCGUGUCGUGAGAUGUUGGGUUAAGUCCCGCAACGAGCGCAACCCUUGUCCUAUGUUGCCAGCGGGUUAUGCCGGGGACUCGUAGGAGACUGCCGGGGUCAACUCGGAGGAAGGUGGGGAUGACGUCAAGUCAUCAUGCCCCUUAUGUCCAGGGCUUCACACAUGCUACAAUGGCCGGUACAAAGGGCUGCGAUGCCGUGAGGUGGAGCGAAUUUCAAACCUUUCAAAGCCGGUCUCAGUUCGGAUCGGGGUGUGCAACUCGACCCCGUGAAGUCGCGAGUCGCUAGUAAUCGCAGAUCAGCAACGCUGCGGUGAAUACGUUCCCGGGCCUUGUACACACCGCCCGUCACGUCAUGAAAGUCGGUAACACCCGAAGCCGG